rnacentral:rRNA from 1 species
UACGUAGGGUGCGAGCGUUGCCCGGAUUUAUUGGGCGUAAAGAGCGUGUAGGCGGCCCGGUAAGUCCGCUGUAAAAGUCAAAGGCUCAACCUUUGAAUGUCAGUGGAUACUGCCGGGCUAGAGUCCGGAAGAGGCGAGUGGAACUCCUGGUGUAGCGGUGGAAUGCGCAGAUAUCAGGAGGAACACCGGUGGCGAAGGCGGGUCUCUGGGCAGUAACUGACGCUGAGAAGCGAAAGCGUGGGGAGCGAACAGG